rnacentral:tRNA from 1 species
GGGCCGUUAGCUCAUCUGGUAGAGCGGGGGACUUUUAAUCCUCGACAUGGCUGGGUUCGAGACCCAGACGGCCCACCA